rnacentral:rRNA from 1 species
UACGUAGGGUGCGAGCGUUGUCCGGAAUUACUGGGCGUAAAGAGCUUGUAGGUGGUUUGUCGCGUUGUUCGUGAAAUCUCACAGCUUAACUGUGAGCGUGCGGGCGAUACGGGCAGACUAGAGUACUGCAGGGGAGACUGGAAUUCCUGGUGUAGCGGUGGAAUGCGCAGAUAUCAGGAGGAACACCGGUGGCGAAGGCGGGUCUCUGGGCAGUAACUGACGCUGAGAAGCGAAAGCGUGGGGAGCGAACAGG